UACGUAGGGUCCGAGCGUUGUCCGGAAUUACUGGGCGUAAAGAGCUCGUAGGUGGUUUGUCGCGUUGUUCGUGAAAACUCACAGCUCAACUGUGGGCGUGCGGGCGAUACGGGCAGACUUGAGUACUGCAGGGGAGACUGGAAUUCCUGGUGUAGCGGUGGAAUGCGCAGAUAGUCAGGAGGAACACCGGUGGCGAAGGCGGGAUCUC
rnacentral:rRNA from 1 species